rnacentral:rRNA from 1 species
UACGAAGGGGGCUAGCGUUGCUCGGAAUUACUGGGCGUAAAGCGCACGUAGGCGGCUCUUUAAGUCGGGGGUGAAAUCCUGGAGCUCAACUCCAGAACUGCCUUCGAUACUGAAGAGCUUGAGUCCGGGAGAGGUGAGUGGAACUGCGAGUGUAGAGGUGAAAUUCGUAGAUAUUCGGAAGAACACCAGUGGCGAAGGCGACUUACUGGACACAUAUUGACGCUGAGGUGCGAAAGCGUGGGGAGCAAACAGG